UCUACGGCUAUGAUGAGAAGUAGUAAAUCCUUGUAAGCUGUUCUAGCGAGUCAGAGAUGGUGAAAGUCUGAUACAUAUUCUUGGAUUGAAUGGAUCUCAGAGCUGCUAGCUGAACUCGGACAUAUUCCGAUAGUAGGUGAUGCCGGGGAGUUUCCCGUUAUAGAGACAGGAUAUCGAGAAAUUAAGGUUUCUCCGUAUCUGGAAGAGAUGCUUUUAGAAUAUCUCAGAUAAAUAUCUCAAAUAUACCAAUUAUUCUAAGAGCAACAAAGGUGGCACCGCGGAUAAUCCUCCGUCCUUUCA
rnacentral:ncRNA from 1 species